rnacentral:rRNA from 1 species
UACACUCCUGCGGGAGGCAGCAGUGGGGAAUAUUGGACAAUGGGCGCAAGCCUGAUCCAGCCAUGCCGCGUGAGUGAUGAAGGCCCUAGGGUUGUAAAGCUCUUUCACCGGUGAAGAUAAUGACGGUAACCGGAGAAGAAGCCCCGGCUAACUUCGUGCCAGCAGCCGCGGUAAUACGAAGGGGGCUAGCGUUGUUCGGAUUUACUGGGCGUAAAGCGCACGUAGGCGGACUAUUAAGUCAGGGGUGAAAUCCCGGGGCUCAACCCCGGAACUGCCUUUGAAACUGGUAGUCUUGAGUUCGAGAGAGGUGAGUGGAAUUCCGAGUGUAGAGGUGAAAUUCGUAGAUAUUCGGAGGAACACCAGUGGCGAAGGCGGCUCACUGGCUCGAUACUGACGCUGAGGUGCGAAAGCGUGGGGAGCAAACAGGAUUAGAUACCCUAGUAGUCCC